rnacentral:rRNA from 1 species
AUACGUAGGGUGCAAGCGUUAUCCGGAAUUAUUGGGCGUAAAGGGCUCGUAGGCGGUUCGUCGCGUCCGGUGUGAAAGUCCAUCGCUUAACGGUGGAUCCGCGCCGGGUACGGGCGGGCUUGAGUGCGGUAGGGGAGACUGGAAUUCCCGGUGUAACGGUGGAAUGUGUAGAUAUCGGGAAGAACACCAAUGGCGAAGGCAGGUCUCUGGGCCGUUACUGACGCUGAGGAGCGAAAGCGUGGGGAGCGAACAGGAUUAGAUACCCUGGUAGUCCACGCCGUAAACGGUGGAUGCUGGAUGUGGGGCCCGUUCCACGGGUUCCGUGUCGGAGCUAACGCGUUAAGCAUCCCGCCUGGGGAGUACGGCCGCAAGGCUAAAACUCAAAGAAAUUGACGGGGGCCCGCACAAGCGGCGGAGCAUGCGGAUUAAUUCGAUGCAACGCGAAGAACCUUACCUGGGCUUGACAUGUUCCCGACGGUCGUAGAGAUACGGCUUCCCUGCGGGGCGGGUUCACAGGUGGUGCAUGGUCGUCGUCAGCUCGUGUCGUGAGAUGUUGGGUUAAGUCCCGCAACGAGCGCAACCCUCGCCCCGUGUUGCCAGCGGAUUAUGCCGGGAACUCACGGGGGACCGCCGGGGUUAACUCGGAGGAAGGUGGGGAUGACGUCAGAUCAUCAUGCCCCUUACGUCCAGGGCUUCACGCAUGCUACAAUGGCCGGUACAACGGGAUGCGACGCGGCGACGCGGAGCGGAUCCCUGAAAACCGGUCUCAGUUCGGAUCGCAGUCUGCAACUCGACUGCGUGAAGGCGGAGUCGCUAGUAAUCGCGAAUCAGCAACGUCGCGGUGAAUGCGUUCCCGGGCCUUGUACACACCGCCCGUCAAGUCAUGAAAGUGGGCAGCACCCGAAGCCGGUGGCCUAACCCCUUGUGGGAUGGAGCCGUCUAAGGUGAGGCUCGUGAUUGGGACU